UUCCCAUGUCAUGAAUAUAUAUAUAUUUAAUUUAAUAUGCAGACUGCGCUCUUAGAUCCAUCAUUACCUAACAGUGAUACACAAAAGGAACCCAACAUCUGAUUAGGUCAUACAAUUUAUAAAACAUACACAACAUUUGAUUCACCUAAUUAACACCUGAAAAUUUUAUUCAUUAAUUUAGUCUUUAGAUACCUUUCAAAGGAUCUCAGCCUCCCAAAUGGCUUUUUACCAUUUCUUUUUAUAUUAACGUAAUCAACAAGUUUUAAGGAGCUCCUUAAGGCCACAUCCACAGCUGCCCUCCGGUGGUCAGAAACACAUCGGAGAAGUAACUUCGGCAAACUUCGCUACCGUCAUCCUCCACUGAUUGCACGCCAUCAACUGGGCCUCCAAUUACACAUCCUCCAUAGUUAUCAUUCUGAAAGAAUGAAUCCCCACUGUCCAAAAGCUGUGGACUGUGCUCAUCCACCACUGCACUUCCAGCACUUCCAGAACUCAGGUGGUCCUCAACCUUCACACCCAUUUGAACACCGCAUGCAUUGGCUGUAUCCACCGGAACGGAGUCAGAUUUUUGCCCUGGUACUGGUGCUUCAGUCACGUCUUUGGUUUCUAGUUUCACAGUCAAAGAAACGACCUCAGAUUUAAGCUUCUCAUUUUCCUUGAUAACAGUGUCGUAAAUAGAGAGAAGAGAAUCAUAAGAAGCUUUGAGAAGAUCAUAGUCCCUCUCAAGCUGCUUGGUCUUCCAUCGAGCCCUGCGGUUUUGGAACCACACAGCCACCUGCCUGGGCUGCAAUCCCAGCUUCUUGGCCAGCUGAGUCUUUCGUUCUGGCUCUAGUUUGUUCUCUGCCUCAAAACUCUUCUCCAGCAGGUUCACCUGCUCCGGAGUAAGGCGGCGCUUCUUCUCCGGCAACUGUUCCUCGUAAUAUUCAUCAUCGAACAAGUCUUCCGGCGAGCUGAAAAAUGGUCUCUUCUUGGAGGUGUCCACCUCCAUGUUCAACAUUGAUAAUCUUGGACCUCGAAAAACGGGAUCCCUGUUCUCAAGGAACAACAUGUUCCCGUUGCAAGAAGAGGGAUUAAAGAAAAGCCGUCCGGACUCCAUCUUCACUAUCUCUCUAUGAUCUUGGGUGUCUUUUGCAGUCGAAAUUUCACCGGCUUAGGGAUCCUCCGGCGAGUGGGAUACAAAAGAAAACUAACAGAACGCGUGUUUGUGUGUAUAUAUGUUAUAUAUGUAUGUAUACAAGGUAAAUUAGAAAAGCAUAAGCUUGUGGCGAAAGAAGCUAGUAGUCCAGAGCAACCUCGCAGGAGUCUCCAGUGGACAUAUGCAAAAUCCCAUCACGCCACGACCAGCCUUCCCCAGCUAGCUUCGAGCGUUUUGCUGAUUAUCAGUUUUUUUUUCCUUGCCUAGAGAGAAAGAGAGCCAAAAAGAGUUAACAAAACUGGGACGAGAAGUUCACCAAAUCUCCUUGGAAAUGAUGAUGUGACCACUAAAAGAUAAAAACCAAAGUAAAGUGAUCACCGGAAAGUUUUGGAUUCCGGC
rnacentral:misc_RNA from 1 species